rnacentral:rRNA from 1 species
GACGAACGCUGGCGGCGUGCUUAACACAUGCAAGUCGAACGGAAAGGCCCUGCUUUUGUGGGGUGCUCGAGUGGCGAACGGGUGAGUAACACGUGAGUAACCUGCCCUUGACUUUGGGAUAACUUCAGGAAACUGGGGCUAAUACCGGAUAGGAGCUCCUGCUGCAUGGUGGGGGUUGGAAAGUUUCGGCGGUUGGGGAUGGACUCGCGGCUUAUCAGCUUGUUGGUGGGGUAUUGGCUUACCAAGGCUUUGACGGGUAGCCGGCCUGAGAGGGUGACCGGACACAUUGGGACUGAGAUACGGCCCAGACUCCUACGGGAGGCAGCAGUGGGGAAUAUUGCACAAUGGGCGGAAGCCUGAUGCAGCAACGCCGCGUGCGGGAUGACGGCCUUCGGGUUGUAAACCGCUUUCGCCUGUGACGAAGCGUGAGUGACGGUAAUGGGUAAAGAAGCACCGGCUAACUACGUG